rnacentral:rRNA from 1 species
UGGCCAGACUCCUACGGGAGGCAGCAGUGGGGAAUAUUGCACAAUGGGGGAAACCCUGAUGCAGCGACGCCGCGUGAGUGAAGAAGUAUUUCGGUAUGUAAAGCUCUAUCAGCAGGGAAGAAGCAAGACGGUACCUGACUAAGAAGCCCCGGCUAACUACGUGCCAGCAGCCGCGGUAAUACGUAGGGGGCAAGCGUUAUCCGGAUUUACUGGGUGUAAAGGGCGUGUAGCCGGGUUGACAAGUCAGAUGUGAAAUCCUGCGGCUUAACCGCAGAACUGCAUUUGAAACUGUUGAUCUUGAGUACUGGAGAGGCAGACGGAAUUCCUAGUGUAGCGGUGAAAUGCGUAGAUAUUAGGAGGAACACCAGUGGCGAAGGCGGUCUGCUGGACUGCAACUGACGUUGAGGCUCGAAGGCGUGGGGAGCAAACAGGAUUAGAUACCCGAGUAA